AACGAACGCUGGCGGCAUGCCUAACACAUGCAAGUCGAACGAGACCUUCGGGUCUAGUGGCGCACGGGUGCGUAACGCGUGGGAACCUGCCCUUAGGUUCGGAAUAACUCCCCGAAAGGGGUGCUAAUACCGGAUAAUGUCUUCGGACCAAAGAUUUAUCGCCUUUGGAUGGGCCCGCGUUGGAUUAGCUAGUUGGUAGGGUAAAAGCCUACCAAGGCGACGAUCCAUAGCUGGUCUGAGAGGAUGAUCAGCCACACUGGGACUGAGACACGGCCCAGACUCCUACGGGAGGCAGCAGUGGGGAAUAUUGGACAAUGGGCGAAAGCCUGAUCCAGCAAUGCCGCGUGAGUGAUGAAUGCCUUAGUGUUGUAAAGCUCUUUUACCCGGGAUGAUAAUGACAGUACCGGGAGAAUAAGCACCGGCUAACUCCGUG
rnacentral:rRNA from 1 species